AAGUCGAGCGGACAGAAGGGAGCUUGCUCCCGGAUGUUAGCGGCGGACGGGUGAGUAACACGUGGGUAACCUGCCUGUAAGACUGGGAUAACUCCGGGAAACCGGAGCUAAUACCGGAUAGUUCCUUGAACCGCAUGGUUCAAGGAUGAAAGACGGUUUCGGCUGUCACUUACAGAUGGACCCGCGGCGCAUUAGCUAGUUGGUGGGGUAAUGGCUCACCAAGGCGACGAUGCGUAGCCGACCUGAGAGGGUGAUCGGCCACACUGGGACUGAGACACGGCCCAGACUCCUACGGGAGGCAGCAGUAGGGAAUCUUCCGCAAUGGACGAAAGUCUGACGGAGCAACGCCGCGUGAGUGAUGAAGGUUUUCGGAUCGUAAAGCUCUGUUGUUAGGGAAGAACAAGUGCGAGAGUAACUGCUCGCACCUUGACGGUACCUAACCAGAAAGCCACGGCUAACUACGUGCCAGCAGCCGCGGUAAUACGUAGGUGGCAAGCGUUGUCCGGAAUUAUUGGGNGUAAACGGCUCGCAGGCGGCUUCUUAAGUCUGAUGUGAAAGCCUCCUGCUCAACCGGGUCGGGUCACUCGACACUCGGGAACUU
rnacentral:rRNA from 1 species